GAUGAACGCUGGCGGCGUGCUUAACACAUGCAAGUCGAACGAAGCACUUUACUUGAUUUUCUUCGGAACUGAUUGUAUUGUGACUGAGUGGCGGACGGGUGAGUAACGCGUGGAUAACCUGCCUCAUACAGGGGGAUAACAGUUAGAAAUGGCUGCUAAUACCGCAUAAGACCACAGUACCGCAUGGUACAGAGGUAAAAACUCCGGUGGUAUGAGAUGGACCCGCGUCUGAUUAGGUAGUUGGUGGGGUAACGGCCCACCAAGCCGACGAUCAGUAGCCGACCUGAGAGGGU
rnacentral:rRNA from 1 species